GUAGGUGGCAAGCGUUGUCCGGGAAUUAUUGGGGCGUAAAGCGCGCGCAGGCGGUUCUUUAAGGGUCUGAUGUGAAAGCCCACGGCUCAACCGUGGAGGGUCAUUGGAAACUGGAGAACUUGAGUACAGAAGAGGAAAGCGGAAUUCCACGUGUAGCGGUGAAAUGCGUAGAGAUGUGGAGGAACACCAGUGGCGAAGGCGGCUUUCUGGUCUGUAGCUGACGCUGAGGCGCGAAAGCGUGGGGAGCAAACAGGAUUAGAUACCCCUGGUAGUCCACGCCGUAAACGAUGAGUGCUAAGUGUUAGGGGGUUUCCGCCCCUUAGUGCUGCAGCUAACGCAUUAAGCACUCCGCCUGGGGAGUACGGCCGCAAAGGCUG
rnacentral:rRNA from 1 species